GAUGGAACAAGUUCAAUCAUAGAUGCUAUCUCCAAUCGGAAAGGUCUGAUUCGUGGGAUGCAGCCAGAAAGAACUGCACAGACGAAGAAGCCGAUCUGAUAGUCAUUGACAGCCCUGAAGAAAAGACUUUCCUCUCUACAAUCAUCAAUGAACAAACUUGGAUUGGUUUGAAUGACAAAGAACAGGAGGGAACAUGGAAAUGGGUAGAUGGUACUCCACCGACUCUGAUGCACUGGGCAUCGAGUCAACCUGAUGAUGGUGGAGAUGAGGACUGUGCUUGUGUCAGGAAUCACGGCAAAACUUCUUGGAUGGAUUUUCGAUGUUCAGCUUCUUUUCAUUGGAUCUGUGAAAAAACACUAAACUGCAAAAAUACAUGUUCUGAAGGAUGGAGCAAGUUCAACUGUAGCUGCUAUAUCCGGUCUCAAAGCUCUGGUUCCUGGGAUGCAGCCAGAAAGGACUGCAGAGACAGAGGAGCAGAUCUCAUGGUUGUUGACAGCCCUGA